AAGGUACCCCUGGAGAUGACCACUCUCAGCCUUCCAGUUAUCUUUUCUCCAUUGCUAAACUGGAUUGCUCAGGACGGGUAUUUUAUACCCACACACCAAUGAAACUUUUUGAGGUUUGGGGAGAUGCAUCACUGCGGACCCUCUCGUAUUGCAAAAAAAGAAGAGAGCCUUGGAUCUACCAGUUCAAGCAAACAUUUCAUCUGACAGCCUUGGAGAUCCCGCUUUGGAGAUGGUGCUUUAACAACUCAGCCAGCUAUCAUUUCUUCACUGCCAUACAGAUUGUGCAGCAAGAUGGUUCGGCCCUCAUACCAGGAGGCAAAACAAGAAUUUGUUGAUUUGUGACCUCUAGGUGCAUUAUUUAUGACAAUAAAUGUUGGAUAUUAUUUAAUUCAUGUGUGUAUACUUGUAUUUCGUUCAGUACUUAGAGGAGGAGGAGCAACAGAGACAGAACCCUCUUGUCCUGCUGCUUGGGGAUGAACUAGACUGCUCUCAGGCGUUUGUUAUUGUGAAAGAUGUGGCACUAAA